AAUGCUGACAUAAGUAACGAUAAAGCGGGUGAAAAGCCCGCUCGCCGGAAGACCAAGGGUUCCUGUCCAACGUUAAUCGGGGCAGGGUGAGUCGACCCCUAAGGCGAGGCCGAAAGGCGUAGUCGAUGGGAAACAGGUUAAUAUUCCUGUACUUGGUGUUACUGCGAAGGGGGGACGGAGAAGGCUAUGUUGGCCGGGCGACGGUUGUCCCGGUUUAAGCGUGUAGGCUGGUUUUCCAGGCAAAUCCGGAAAAUCAAGGCUGAGGCGUGAUGACGAGGCACUACGGUGCUGAAGCAACAAAUGCCCUGCUUCCAGGAAAAGCCUCUAAGCAUCAGGUAACAUCAAAUCGUACCCCAAACCGACACAGGUGGUCAGGUAGAGAAUACCAAGGCGCUUGAGAGAACUCGGGUGAAGGAACUAGGCAAAAUGGUGCCGUAACUUCGGGAGAAGGCACGCUGAUAUGUAGGUGAAGUCCCUCGCGGAUGGAGCUGAAAUCAGUCGAAGAUACCAGCUGGCUGCAACUGUUUAUUAAAAACACAGCACUGUGCAAACACGAAAGUGGACGUAUACGGUGUGACG
rnacentral:rRNA from 1 species